rnacentral:rRNA from 1 species
UACGUAGGGCGCAAGCGUUGUCCGGAAUUAUUGGGCGUAAAGAGCUCGUAGGCGGCUUGUCACGUCGGGUGUGAAAGCCCGGGGCUUAACCCCGGGUCUGCAUUCGAUACGGGCAGGCUAGAGUGUGGUAGGGGAGAUCGGAAUUCCUGGUGUAGCGGUGAAAUGCGCAGAUAUCAGGAGGAACACCCGGUGGCGAAGGCGGAUCUCUGGGCCAUUACUGACGCUGAGGAGCGAAAGCGUGGGGAGCGAACAGG